UACGUAGGGUGCGAGCGUUAAUCGGAAUUACUGGGCGUAAAGCGUGCGCAGGCGGUUUUGUAAGUCUGUCGUGAAAUCCCCGGGCUCAACCUGGGAAUGGCGAUGGAGACUGCAAGGCUAGAGUUUGGCAGAGGGGGGUAGAAUUCCACGUGUAGCAGUGAAAUGCGUAGAGAUGUGGAGGAAUACCGAUGGCGAAGGCAGCCCCCUGGGCCAAUACUGACGCUCAUGCACGAAAGCGUGGGGAGCAAACAGG
rnacentral:rRNA from 1 species